UACGAAGGGGGCUAGCGUUGUUCGGAAUCACUGGGCGUAAAGCGCACGUAGGCGGCGCGUUAAGUCAGGGGUGAAAUCCUGGAGCUCAACUCCAGAAAUGCCUUUGAUACUGGCGCGAUCGAGUGUGGGAGAGGUUGGUGGAACUCCGAGUGUAGAGGUGAAAUUCGUAGAUAUUCGGAAGAUCACCAGUGGCGAAGGCGGCCAACUGGCCCAUUACUUACGCUGAGGUGUGAAAGCGCGGGUAGCAAACAGG
rnacentral:rRNA from 1 species